rnacentral:rRNA from 1 species
UACGUAGGGAGCAAGCGUUGUUCGGAUUUACUGGGCGUAAAGGGCGCGUAGGCGGCGCGGUAAGUCACUUGUGAAAUCUCUGAGCUUAACUCAGAACGGCCAAGUGAUACUGCAGUGCUAGAGUGCAGAAAGGGCAAUCGGAAUUCUUGGUGUAGCGGUGAAAUGCGUAGAUAUUGGGAGGAACACCGGUGGCGAAGGCGGCCCCCUGGACCGGUACUGACGCUGAGGCGCGAAAGCGUGGGUAGCAAACGGG